rnacentral:misc_RNA from 1 species
GACCAGCAGGGUUUGUUGGAAUCUGUCAAAAGAUAUAAAAUCAAAAGAAAAGCCAACAAUGACUGAAAAUGAGUAAAAUACUUAAGAAAAACAACACAUACUUCAGACCUGUUAAACAGCAAGGCAGUUGACAUUUACAAGCUAAAGUACUAACAAAUCUUUUGGACCCCAAUUUUACUGAAAUUUUAGUAUUUGCGUUGAAUUGAAGUGUAAAUUCUAU